GUGACGAAGCCAGCAUGAUGGCAAUGACAUGGGAGGUAGCCCAGGGCUGGGUUAUAUGCUGGGGACCAAUGUGUCCCAUGCUGUCAAGAGCUCAGCAGAGAGUUCUGUUUAAUGGAGUGUGGGAGAUGAGGUAGAAGGAACAGUUGUAGGACUGGAGGACAAGCUGAGUAGAAUCAGAAACAGAAAAAAGAACAGGGUUGGGGUAGAAAUGAUAAUAAUAAUUUCUCCUUUAGGCAUAAAGAGUUGGAGCUGUUUAUGGGACACACAGACUUCGAUGCCUUGCAAACAGCUGGACAGGUGGGACAUCAGGAGGGUUCCUCCAUGUGAAGCAGAGAAAAUCAAAGUUCUCCUCUCUUAUAACUGUCCAUUUCAGGUCUCCACCGCCAAGCUUUGCAGCUGUAUCACCAGCAUUGUGUCCCUGGAUUGAAAGUCCCACUUCCUGAAGCCAGAGAAAAUGUUUGAGUGAACUGGGAGAUGCAAAACCAGUCUUUUAAAUUCUGUAAGCAAUUUUAUAGUUCAUUUUCAGAGGAGAGAAGGGAGGGAGGAGAAUGAAGAAAAGAAUAUUUGAAAAAUGGGGGGGGGGUAUUAUAUUGCUGUACUUUAUUUAACUGAAGUAUAGACCAGAUAAGAAUGUGAACUCUUCAGCUCUCAUUUGCUCACCCAGAAUGUCCUAAGUCUGAUACUAUUGAAACCAAUUUAUUUUUCCAUAUUCAGCCAGUUUCUUUGUUAUUUUUAGCUUGAAACUUCUAUCUAGAACAUUCUAUGAAAAACUGGACCAAUUUCCUUUCCCUCCUUCCCUCUAUCCCUCCCCCUCUCUCUGUCCCACCCCACUUCCUCUGUCCCUUCCUUCUUCCCUUCCUUUUUUAUUUUUAUUUUCUUCUUCUUCUUCUUCUUCUUCUUCUUCUUCUUCUUCUUCUUCUUCUUCUUCUUCUUCUUCUUCUUCUUCUUCUUCUUCUUCUUCU
rnacentral:lncRNA from 1 species